UACGUAGGGGGCAAGCGUUGUCCGGAUUUACUGGGCGUAAAGCGCGCGCAGGCGGCCUUUUAAGUCUGACGGUGAAAUGCCGGGGCUCAACCCCGUGCCCGCCGGAGAUACUGGGAGGCUGGAGACAUGUAGAGGCAAGCGGAAUUCCGGGUGUAGCGGUGGAAUGCGUAGAGAUCCGGAAGAACACCGGAGGCGAAGGCGGCUUGCUGGGCAUUGUCUGACGCUGAGGCGCGAAAGCGUGGGGAGCGAACAGG
rnacentral:rRNA from 1 species